rnacentral:rRNA from 1 species
UACGAAGGGGGCUAGCGUUGUUCGGAAUUACUGGGCGUAAAGCGCACGUAGGCGGAUAUUUAAGUCAGGGGUGAAAUCCCGGGGCUCAACCCCGGAACUGCCUUUGAUACUGGGUAUCUCGAGUCCGGAAGAGGUGAGUGGAAUUCCGAGUGUAGAGGUGAGAUUCGUAGAUAUUCGGAGGAACACCAGUGGCGAAGGCGGCUCACUGGUCCGGUACUGACGCUGAGGUGCGAAAGCGUGGGGAGCAAACAGG